UACGAAGGGGGCUAGCGUUGCUCGGAAUCACUGGGCGUAAAGCGCACGUAGGCGGCUUUUUAAGUCAGGGGUGAAAUCCUGGAGCUCAACUCCAGAACUGCCUUUGAUACUGAGAAGCUUGAGUCCGGGAGAGGUGAGUGGAACUGCGAGUGUAGAGGUGAAAUUCGUAGAUAUUGGGAAGAACACCGGUGGCGAAGGCGGCUCACUGGCUCGUAACUGACGCUCAUGCACGACAGCGUGGGGAUCAAACAGG
rnacentral:rRNA from 1 species